rfam:Picea glauca, whole genome shotgun sequence.
GUAAUGGUGUCUUUAGACACCACCCUCUAUAUUAGAAAAAUUUGUGU